rnacentral:rRNA from 1 species
AGAGUUUGAUCCUGGCUCAGGAUGAACGCUAGCUACAGGCUUAACACAUGCAAGUCGAGGGGAAACGACAUCGAAAGCUUGCUUUUGAUGGGCGUCGACCGGCGCACGGGUGAGUAACGCGUAUCCAACCUGCCCAUCACUUGGGGAUAACCUUGCGAAAGUAAGACUAAUACCCAAUGACGUCUCUAGAAGACAUCUGAAAGAGAUUAAAGAUUUAUCGGUGAUGGAUGGGGAUGCGUCUGAUUAGCUUGUUGGCGGGGUAACGGCCCACCAAGGCGACGAUCAGUAGGGGUUCUGAGAGGAAGGUCCCCCACAUUGGAACUGAGACACGGUCCAAACUCCUACGGGAGGCAGCAGUGAGGAAUAUUGGUCAAUGGACGAGAGUUUGAACCAGCCAAGUAGCGUGCAGGAUGACGGCCCUAUGGGUUGUAAACUGCUUUUAUAAGGGAAUAAAGUGAGCCUCGUGAGGCUUUUUGCAUGUACCUUAUGAAUAAGGACCGGCUAAUUCCGUGCCAGCAGCCGCGGUAAUACGGAAGGUCCGGGCGUUAUCCGGAUUUAUUGGGUUUAAAGGGAGCGUAGGCCGGAGAUUAAGCGUGUUGUGAAAUGUAGAUGCUCAACAUCUGCACUGCAGCGCGAACUGGUUUCCUUGAGUACGCACAAAGUGGGCGGAAUUCGUGGUGUAGCGGUGAAAUGCUUAGAUAUCACGAAGAACUCCGAUUGCGAAGGCAGCUCACUGGAGCGCAACUGACGCUGAAGCUCGAAAGUGCGGGUAUCGAACAGGAUUAGAUACCCUGGUAGUCCGCACGGUAAACGAUGGAUGCCCGCUGUUGGUCUGAAUAGGUCAGCGGCCAAGCGAAAGCAUUAAGCAUCCCACCUGGGGAGUACGCCGGCAACGGUGAAACUCAAAGGAAUUGACG